rnacentral:lncRNA from 1 species
UGUUUCUUUUUUUAAAAAAAUAACUUUUCAAAAUUGCUGCCAAUACUAUUUAUUUUACGAGGUUUUUCAUAUUGUUGGCUUCGUGAUAUGAACACAGCAUUACUUCCAAGAAUAAUGUACUUUAUAUGUUCUAGGCUCAGGGAAUUAUGCUGAAGACUGAUACACAUCACAGAGAAGAGUAGAUAUACUGCUUUGAUUGAGGCCAUUGGGCAAAUUAAUUGAAUAAAUUUAUCAAAGGAAAAACGGGAUAUUGUUACCUGAACAUCACCCACCUGACAUUGAUAUUUACCUCUGGAGCCCUUAAAAAAGAUGCUGAACAAGAAGUAAUUUAUAACUAAGGAUGAGGAUGAGGAUGAAGAUGAGGAAGAGGACACGAACCAGAGCUGACGCCAGCCUUAACAACUCCUUUUUCAUCCUGUUCCCCUGUGUCUUGUGGAUUCUGUUUCUGUUUGUUUCUUCAAAUAAAAUGUGCCUUCCACAGUGUUUUGUGUUUGUUUUCCGCUUCUCCAUUAUGGAUUGUGUGGCGAG